ACGAAAAUAAAAUUGUUUUUCUAAAUUUACUUUAUCAACAAUGCCUAUUGACGAGAGGUAACUUUUAAAUAAAAUAGAAAACUGCGAUAAUCGACUGAAACAUCGAUCUGAGAGAGAACACGUUUAUUCUUUCGAGAGAGAGAGAGAGAGAGAGCAGGAUAAAAACUCGUUAUAUCCGUUCUUAGAAAUAACAAAUGGCUAACGCCUUAAAUCGAAAUCAAACUCGUUGGAAAAAUAGUGUUAAAUAAAAGAAAGUUAUACAAGACAAACUGAAAAAUCUUUACCCACAAGUUAUGUUAAAUAAGAAAAAUAAAUUAUCAUCCAACUCACUGCGAAAAAGAAAGGAUUGGAAUUCAAUGUGGUAUCAGGAUAAUGGAUUGUUUCUUGGUUUCGGAGCACGAACUAGUUUUCUGGAUUGGUUACAGGAUUCCUCGUAGUUUCCGGUCUCUCUUACGGAUUAUACGGGAUUGUCUACAGGAUUCUUCUGAUGGAAAAUUGGACUGCUGUUCUUCGGAUUUCGGGUCUCGGAUGAUCUCGAGGAAGUUUCAGGAGUUCUCGGAAUAGACAUACAUUGGAGUACACGCCAAAUUUCAUCAAUGAGCAAAGUUAGAAAUAUUCAAUUUUAAAUCAAUGAUUUCCUCCUCAAAAUAACGUUAAAACAUCAAAGGAUGGAUGAAAAAUGUGCUUUAGGAGCUGAACUAUAUUAAUUGAUACUUUUGGAAGCAAACUAAACGGUUUUAGAUAAGAUUUCCACCAACAAAAAAUCUCUGUCAAAAUUUUAAGGUUAUGUUCUCUCGGUGAACUAAAGGAUGGUUAAUUCUAUCACAAUAUAUAUCACAUGAAUCUUGGAAAAUUCAAAUUUGGUAUAACGUAACUUCAAACGUUAAUUUAUAACCUCAAAAAGUUUCGUUUCAUAAUUCCUAGUCGUUUUGGAGAGAACAAUUUUUCGUUUAAUAAACGUCAAUUUACAUUUGCGGUUUUCAAAAAUGUAUAUAAAUCGUAUUAUUGGCUUUGGAACUUUAAAAUUUGGUAUAAUACAACCUCAAACAUUCUUUUGUAACCUCACAAAGUUUCAUUUCUGAAUUCCUAACCGUUUCAGAGAAAAGUGAUAUUAAGUGCUUACAAUAAAAAUAAAAUGAUCAAUAUAA